rnacentral:rRNA from 1 species
AAUAUUGCACAAUGGGGGAAACCCUGAUGCAGCAACGCCGCGUGAGCGAUGAAGGCCUUCUGUACGUAAAGCACUUUCCUAAGGGAAAAAACAAUGACGGUACCUUAGGAGGAAGCCCCGGCUAACUACGUGCCAGCAGCCGCGGUAAUACGUAGGGGGCAAGCGUUAUCCGGAAUCACUGGGCGGAAGGGGUGCGUAGGCGGCCAAUAAAGUCAGGGGUGAAAGGCUACGGCUUAACCGUAGUAAGCCUUUGAAACUUAAUGGCUUGAGUGCAGGAGAGGUAAGUGGAAUUCCUAGUGUAGCGGUGAAAUGCGUAGAUAUUAGGAGGAACACCAGUGGCGAAGGCGACUUACUGGACUGUAACUGACGCUGAGGCACGAAAGCGUGGGGAGCGAACAGG